GUGUGGAGAUGAUGAACAUCAGAGGCUGUUUCUGAGGAUGAGCCCAAAGCUUGUCCUGUGCUGCAAAGUAACUGAUUUGCCUAUCUGAUCCAAAG